GACGAACGCUGGCGGCGCGCUUAACACAUGCAAGUCGAGCGAAGCUGCGGACGGGUGAGUACCACGUGAGUAACCUGCCUUAGACAUUGGGAUAGCCUCGGGAAACCGGGAUUAAUACCAACUGGUCUAAGAUGGACUGGCGUCCCAUUAGUUAGUUGGUGAGGUAACGGCCCACCAAGGCGACGAUGGGUAGCCGGGCUGAGAAGGUGAACGGGCACAUUGGAAGGGAGAAACGGUCCGAACUCUACGGGAGGCAGGAGUGGGGAAUAUAGCAAGAUGGAGGGAACUCUGAUGCAGCGACGCCGCGUGAACGAAGAAGGCUUUAGAGUCGUAAAGUUCUUUUAUAUGGGAAGCGGUACCAUAAGAAAAAGCCCCGGCUAACUACGUGCCAGCAGCCGCGGUAAUUC
rnacentral:rRNA from 1 species